UACAGGGGGUGCAAACGUUGCUCGGAAUCAUUGGGCGUAAAGCGCACGUAGGCGGUUCGUUAUGUCGGAUGUGAAAGCCCUUGGCUUAACCGAGGAAGUGCAUCCGAAACUGGCGAGCUAGAGUACUAAAGAGGAUCGCGGAAUUCCCGGUGUAGAGGUGAAAUUCGUAGAUAUCGGGAGGAACACCGGUGGCGAAGGCGGCCUGCUGGGCUAUGGCUGACACUGAGGCGCGACAGCGUGGGGAGCAAACAGG
rnacentral:rRNA from 1 species